UACAGAGGGUGCAAGCGUUAAUCGGAAUUACUGGGCGUAAAGCGUGCGUAGACGGUCAUGUAAGUCGGGUGUGAAAGCCCCGGGCUCAACCUGGGAAUUGCAUUCGAGACUGCAUGGCUAGGAUGCGGAAGAGGGAAGCGGAAUUUCCGGUGUAGCGGUGAAAUGCGUAGAUAUCGGAAGGAACACCAGUGGCGGAAAGCGGCCUUCCUGGUCCAGCAUCGA
rnacentral:rRNA from 1 species